rnacentral:lncRNA from 1 species
GGCCCGCAAAAAGUCAUCAUGUCAGCUGCUUUAAUGUACUGAAUGCAUUGUAGCUCUGAGCCAGGUCUGAAGAACUGUUGCCCAAUUCAGCAGUGCCAGCAUUCCAACUUUGUUAAACCUACCAACAUCUUAAAUGGACUUUCCCGUGGUGGUACCCUGUAAGAGGCGGACGAAAGCUACUCUAUCAGUUUGCACAUUCUAAUCACUUUCCAGUAUCACGAGAGGUUUUGACUUAUAUGAUAGUUCUAGAGUAUGCAGCUGGUAAAACCAGAGGCUACAUCCAGUAUUACUGCUAAGAGACAUUCUUCAUCCACCAAUGUUGUACAUGUAUGAAAAUGGUGUACUGUAUACUUUAACACACCCAUACUUUGUAUUGGAGAG